UACAGAGGGCUCAAGCGUUGUUCGGAUUCAUUGGGCGUAAAGGGUGCGUAGGUGGCUUGGUAAGUCGGAUGUGAAAUCCCGGGGCUCAACCCCGGAACUGCAUUCGAUACUGCUGCGCUAGAGUACUGGAGAGGAGAUUGGAAUUUACGGUGUAGCAGUGAAAUGCGUAGAUAUCGGAAGGAAGACCAGUGGCGAAGGCGGAUCUCUGGACAGUUACUGACACUGAGGCACGAAGGCCAGGGGAGCAAACAGG
rnacentral:rRNA from 1 species